rnacentral:rRNA from 1 species
GACAGAGGGUGCAAACGUUGCUCGGAAUCACUGGGCGUAAAGGGCGUGUAGGCGGGAAGGAAAGUCAGAUGUGAAAUCCCCAGGCUCAACCUGGGAGCUGCAUUUGAAACUCCCUUUCUUGAGUACCGGAGAGGAAAGUGGAAUUCCUGGUGUAGAGGUGAAAUUCGUAGAUAUCAGGAGGAACACCAGUGGCGAAGGCGGCUUUCUGGACGGUAACUGACGCUGAGACGCGAAAGCGUGGGGAGCAAACAGG